rnacentral:lncRNA from 1 species
UGGACGGUUGGACUGGAUGAUCUUAGAGAUCUUUUCCAGCCUUAAUGAUUCUACGAUUCCUACAGGAAACCCACCUCAGGCCACCACCUCUUGGCUGUAGAUAAGGAAUCUCGAUAGUGCUUUGGACUAACACCUGUGUGCGUGUCCUUUCAGAGAGGAAGGAAAGGGCGGCUGCCUUGGGUCAAGUCAUCUGGGCGAACGACAUGUGCAAUCACAGAAGGUGAUGGAGCACGCCUUUCCAUCAGCGCCAGCUUACUCUGGAUCAGGCCCAGGAUGCAUCAUUGCGGCUGUGAUGUGUGGUUCCAAGAGGGUCUGAAGACUUCAUCUAAGGUCAUCGAAAGGCUUUGCUGCUUGAGACGUUGUGCAAACAUGGACGAAAUGGAGCUUAACUAACAAUGGUUGUUACAAAAAGUGGGGAUUAUAUUCUUUAUAUUGCUGGCAAAUUGAUGCGUGGAGAAAAAUCACACAAGAAUUGUGGAGGUCCCUUCCAAUACUGGUGAGUCUAUGAUUCUAAACAGAAACUCAACCAGGUCUUCCAAGCCCAUAUGUAAUAACUCGCUUAAAGGUGUAGGGCGUAACAAACAGAUCCAUAUAGAUGGUACCUGAACAUUUAGUCCCAAAAGGUGAAAGAUGUAAGAGAUAAGCAUAACUUGGUAAGAGCCCUGAAGUAAGAAGACCAGCUUGAUCUUGAGCUAAAAAAAAACAGGUCCAUGGAGGGAUAUAAAGUUAGGGAGAAGGUUAAAAUGGUUUAAUGAAUGGCAAGAAAUCCUUGCUUUUUAUUUGCCACAGUGAGAGUAAAGGAUGUUGUAAUAAUUGAAGCACCUGUGUGGAUGCUGUAAGAAGAGAAAGUGUACACAUGUAACAGGAGAAUCUGCAAAAUGGUGUAUAGCCUGGAUGGAAAACUCAGAGAAAGACUUAAGCUGAAGGCAAUACUAUGGGAAAAUUCUGAUGUUUUCCAGGCU